GAUGAACGCUGGCGGCAUGCCUAACACAUGCAAGUCGAACGGAAAGGCCCUGCUUUUGUGGGGUGCUCGAGUGGCGAAGGGGUGAGUUACCCGUGAGUAACCUGCCCCUGACUUUGGGAUAUCUUCAGGCAACUGGGGCUAAUACCUGCUAGGAGCUCCUGCUGCUUGGUGGGCGUGGGAAAGUUUCGGCGGUUGGGGAUGGACGCGCGGCUUAUCAGCUUGUUGGUUGGGUAGUGGCAUACCAAGGCCUUGACGGGUAGCCGAGCUGGGAGGUGGACCGGACCCAAUGGGACUGAGAUACGGCGCAGACUCGAACGGGAGGCAAGGGGGGAGAGGAUAAUACAGUGGGCGGGAGCAUGAGAAGACAACGCCGGGAGGGGGAAGACAGGCAUGGGGUUGGGAAGGGCAGUCGGCUGAGACGAGGCGUUAGUGACGGUAAUGGGAGAAGAAGCACCGGCUAACUACGUG
rnacentral:rRNA from 1 species